GGUGUAGGUGGCUUGGUAAGUCAGGUGUGAAAGCCCAGGGCUCAACCCUGGAAGUGCAUUUGAAACUACUGAGCUUGAGUGCUAGAGAGGUUAUUAGAAUACCUGGUGUAGUGGUGAAAUACGUAGAUAUCAGGUGGAACACCGGAGGCGAAGGCGGAUAACUGGCUAGACACUGACACUGAGACCCGAAAGUGCGGGGAUCAAACA
rnacentral:rRNA from 1 species